rnacentral:rRNA from 1 species
UACAGAGGUGCCGAGCGUUAGGCGGAAUCACUGGACUUAAAGCGUGUGUAGGCGGACUUCUAAGUACCUUGUGAAAUCCCACGGCUCACCCGUGGAACUGCUGGGUAUACUGGUCGUCUUGAGCCACCUAGGGGCCAGCGGAACAAAUGGUGGAGCGGUGAAAUGCGUAGAUAUCAUUUGGAACGCCAACGGUGAAAACAGCUGGCUGGGGGUGUGCUGACGCUGAGACACGAAAGCCAGGGGAGCGAACGGG